GAUUUCUGGCUUGAAGCCACCCGCCGGCCACGGUUUCGUGUGUUAGUGCGGGCGGUUCUGGCCAUCCUUCCCAUCCGCCCGCUGGCUACUCUUCAUUGAGUGCGUCAGUGGGAUGGGAUCGUUUACUUUGAAAAAAUUAGAGUGUUUCAAGCAGGCUGUAUGCUAUGAAUACAUUAGCAUGGAAUAAUGAUUUAGGACUUCGGUUCUAUUUUGUUGGUUUCUAGGACUGAAGUAAUGAUUGAUAGGGAUAGUUGGGGGUGCUAGUAUUCAGCGGCCAGAGGUGAAAUUCUCGGAUUCGCUGAAGACUAACUUAUGCGAAAGCAUU
rnacentral:rRNA from 2 species